UGGAGGAAGGACGGCCUCCAGAGAGGAGGUGCUGCGGGGCUGGAAGUCCAGGCUCCCCUGAUGCACCGCAGCCCUGAAGCGGCACAGCCAACAGCCUGAGGCUGGGGGGGCAGGUGAUUUAUCAGAGCGAGCCGGACCGAGUCCCACCCCAGCGCUAAGAAAGGCUCCCAUUGCCGAUCAUACUGUAUCCGCACAUCGAGUCGCGAACAGACGCUCAAGCGCACGACGCACCACAGAGGCUCGUACAGAACGAGCCAGCGACAAAAAUGCGAGGUUCUGUAGAGGCUCGACGAGGCCCUUGCUUUUGACCCUCACAGCCAGUGGGGCCGACCACAUCCAUCACAGUCAGCGGCUCGUCAUUCGAACGACAGAGCUGUCUGAUUCAGCUGCCGUCUCAUCUCUCUGCGCCUGAUAACCCGCAGGGAAACCGGGCAGCUUCCAUUCCGUACCCCACACGCUGACGGUCCCGAUUUUACUCCACGGAAAGUGUGAAAGCUCCAUUUCAUGUUCACCUGCGGUGAGCAGAAUUCCCCGCUGCCUUGUUUUGCUGCACAUUUAUUUCUCAGAAUAGAACAGUAAGAGUGACAGGGGCCCAAAGUUACAGUCAGACUUCAUUAAAGGUGAUGAAAAAGCCUGAGUCACGUUGCAAAGCCCCACAAAUACUUAAAAAGAAGAAAUACUCCAACUGUACUCAAUGACCUUACUCUACGCCAGAGGAGUGCAAACGUUACUAAGCUUAACCCUGCUGUCAUUAGGGGCCUCUGCUUUGUUGUUGUAUGUCGUGAACCAUGCGACUCAUAUGGUUUAAAGCCACACUGUUUUUAUGUUGUGUAAAGUGACAGUGAAUUCCCUAAUGUUGAGAAAGGACUUUGAAUCAGUGA